rnacentral:rRNA from 1 species
CAGUAGCCGCGGGAAUACAGAGGGUGCGAGCGUUAAUCGGAUUUACUGGGCGUAAAGCGUGCGUAGGCGGCUUUUUAAGUCGGAUGUGAAAUCCCUGAGCUUAACUUAGGAAUUGCAUUCGAUACUGGGAAGCUAGAGUAUGGGAGAGGAUGGUAGAGUUCCAGGUGUAGCGGUGAAAUGCGUAGAGAUCUGGAGGAAUACCGAUGGCGAAGGCAGCCAUCUGGCCUAAUACUGACGCUGAGGUACGAAAGCAUGGGGAGCAAACAGGAUUAGAUACCCCGGUAGUCCCUGUCUCUUAUAC